GCCCGGCUAGCGCAAUGGUAGCGCGCAAGACUUCUACUUUGGGUAAUAAAUGGUCCUAAAUAAUUAUCUUGAGGUUGCCAGUUCGACCCUGGCGUUGGGCU
rnacentral:tRNA from 1 species